rnacentral:tRNA from 1 species
AGCUCAGUUGGUAAAGAAUCUGCCUGCAAUGCAGGAGACCCAGGUUCGAUCCCUGGGCCAGGAA